GAGUUGGGGGAGAGGACCAGAACCACCUGCUGGAGAAGGGGAGCUACGGGGGCCGGGCAGGGUCCAAACGCCUCACGUAGGCGGCGGCGCCACGGUCUUCGGGGUCACAGGGAAGAGAAGGGCUCUCCUCAAGCGGGUGGAAGGAGGGAGGCCUCCCGAGGGAGUGAGACUCUAGGCCACUCCCCCGCAGCAAGGCAGGAUCACCUGCGACGCGGAGAGCGGUUAGAGGGCCCUGGAGUGGAAAAGGGCAGUGGGACCUGGUAGCUUGGGUUCCCUGCAACUUGGGGUUCGACCUCCAGGCAAUGAAGUAGGGAUGGUCCUGCAAGUCAAGAUUCCAGUAGCAAGAGUGCAUCAGAUCUCUGUAAGGAAAAUAACUAACAUUGCUCAGUUCCCUGUAGAGUUGCAGGGCGCUUUAACGUUAUCUCCCUUGGUUCUCCAUCAGGUCGUAGUGGACUAAUUUUACAGGCGAAGUUAAGUGACUUACCCAAAACCUCACAGCUAAUAAACGGCAGAGCCGGCACCCAGCUGUACUGGCUUCCAAUUCUGUUAGCUUACCAGCGCAUCACAUUAUCUCCAUAAAUCCCCAUGAUUCAACUAAUAUUAGACGCCCCACAGGUAAGAUGCUUCAGAGUUAGAGGGGAGUUGAAGAUACCUUUGCCUUCAAAGAAGUAAGGAAUAAAACAAAGAUAAAACAGACAAUAAAAGACAAACCAUGAUAGGUGCCACGUGAAAAGUGGCAGAGUACUGCCGGGAAUCAAAGAACCGUGUAUAUCUGUCUUGGGGAUAAGGAAAGAAAGGCAGCAUGAAGGAGUAGGCAUUUGGGAUUGACCUUGAAGGAGACAGGGAGAGUUUUACAGCAAGCAGGGAUAGCAUGAGAAUAUAUAUGAAGGCGAAUCAGUGAAAGUUGUGUUGGGGAAAGAGCAAAGACUCCAGGGUAUGUUGAGAGGUAGAAAAGACAAAGGAGUAUGGGGCCUAAGAUACCAAAUGGAUGAAUUUAUAUUUAAUUCAGUAUUUUGAGUUUUUAUGGUUCAGAAGUUUGGGGGAAGAAAAGGAAGGUUUUUUUUUUUCUUUGUGCUAGUGAUUUAUCUGUGAGGGGAAGCAGAAAUCAGAGGUGGAAAAACGGACAGAUCUACUGUAGGCCAGGUAAAAAUGAUGAGUCUGACCUAAAGGGACAGCUAGGGGAAUUUAAAAGAGCAUAGUUGAGAGAUGAUGUGCAUGCAGUAUCUAUAGAAUUUGGCAACUGAUUGAUUAAUUGUGGGUAGGAAGAGAGAAAUCAAAGAAAGUGGAGGUUUUGAGUUUGUAGAUAAUUGCAAGAGAGAAAAGAGACAAUUACAAAGGAGAGGGAGCUACUUCUUGAGAGAUCAGUUUAGAUUUGGACAUUUUAAGAAUUCAAAGGGUUGUCAAGACAGCCAGAGAGACAUGGACACUAAUAAGUUAGAAAUAAAGGUUUUGUAAUAUGGGAAAGAGGACUGAACUAGAAAAUAGACUCAUAAAUAAUCAGCCUAGGAGUGAUAUUGCUGUGAGAUAAAAGAAGAAAACAAAGGUCAGAAUCUUGGAAAACACCCUCUUUAGAGUCUCGCUACUCAAAACGUGGUCAGUGGCCCAGCAGCACUGACAUGAGGAUGUUAGUUAGAAACUCAGAAUCUCAGGCUCCACCCCAGACCUGCUGAACCAGCAUCUUCAACUUAACAAGAACCCGAAGAGAUUUGUGUCACAUCAAAAAGUUUGAGAAGCUCUGAUCUAGGGCUGGAAGGAGUGUUGCUCAACAAUAUCCAAAACCACAGAGGUUGAAAAGCACAAGGAAAGAAGGUAUGUUUGCACUUUGUGAUUAGGUAGUAGGGUCUUUGAGACCACAUUGUUCUUAUUGAAAGCCUGGGAAGAAAGAUCCCCUUUCUGGUCAAGUUUAGUCUAGGGAUCCAUCCCAUCUUCCCCAGUUCCCACGUGUAUGGGACAUGUCGAGAUAAGUAGAUAGAUUGGACAGUGGGAGAAAGUAGUUCUCUUCCAGUUGCUUCUAUUUUCUCAGCAAAGUGAGGAGCAAGAUCAUUUUGGCAGACUGCUAAUUGUCCAUCACAAUUUAGUCUCCCUUUCUCCCUGAAAACACAGACUGCUUUUCUCAGCCUCUCUUUCAGUUGCAUAUGGUCAAGUAUUAAGUUAUAGAACGUGAGCAGAUGUUAUGUCUGCCACUGUCAGGCCAAGGCGUUUACUUUGAGAGUACUUGUGCCUCUUUCAUGCAUUUUCCUUUCUGCCAGCUGGACCCUGGACACGGUGACUCUGAUUCAAUUAUGCAGAUGACCACAAACCUCUGGGGUUGGCAGAGCCACAAGAAAGAAGGUGCCUGGAUGAAGGAGAGCUACCCACUGACCUGGACACCCAAUUAUAGGAUAGACAGUGAAGUGCAACUACAGCCCGCAAAUGAAAAUGAAUAAUAUUAAUCCAGCCCCUCAAGGCAGGCGAGUAGCUGCUGUCAUCUGUCUUAGAGCUAUUGGAAUCCUGGAUCAUUGUGGGAAAUGAAAGGAACUGGUUUUUAGCAAGGAGACCAAGAAACUCUACUCCCUAGGGGCUAGCAAUGAGAGAAAGGAAGCCUUAAGUCUUUGAGCACAGGGUGACAGUUUGGGUCCUAUGUGAGAUGAUCAAAUCCACAGCAACAGAGGAAAGGACAAAAGGAAAAGAUACUUCGAUGGAAUCAGCAGCCAUUGAUCCAAUGCCAACUCCAAGACUGGAACGUCGCAAUGAUAGUUCCAAGGCGGAAAUUUGACGUAAUUCUUUUCGACACAGUUUUACAGGCAUCUUGCAUGUGAAUAACUCACAACUUUAAUUCAUGGAACAAAUUGAGAAAUAGUCUUUUGGGGGUUUGGUACUCCCUGGAAACAUAAGAGUGCUUUGGGCACCUCUGGUGCCUUUCCAUGCCUGCCUUCUCUGCUGUUCUUGCUACUAGUGAAUUCUAAAUCAUGGCCAAGUGAUGCCAGCACUGGAUAAUAUUGGCUCUGCCCCAUAUCUCGAGGGAAAACUCUAGGACUUGGCAUUAUAUGUGUGGGAAUCUGGCCUUGGUUGGCACUCCCAGCAUGAUAGCGGGGUUCUCCUGUCUGAAUGUACUCUGGGGUGUGCGCCACAAUUUCUGUCAUCGAAAUGGAGAUGAGAGAAUAUGCCCUUGGUGGGGACACCCCACUGGAAUUAGAGUGAAGAGAUCAAAGCUAGAGGUUCUUAAAUCAAAGAAUAUCUAAUAGCAAAGACAAAAACUUGCUUAAGGGAAAUGCAUACAAGUACUAGACCUAAUAUGAUGAAAAAUGCCAACUUCAAUAUAUUGAUGCAUGCUUAGUACACUUUCAGUCCUGCAAAGACAAAGUUUUUUGUUGUUUUUUUUUUGAGACGGAGUCUCGCUCUGUCGCCCAGGUUGGAGUGC
rnacentral:lncRNA from 1 species